ACCAGACUCCUACGGGAGGCAGCAGUGGGGAAUAUUGGGCAAUGGGCGCAAGCCUGACCCAGCAACGCCGCGUGAGGGAAGAAGGCUUUCGGGUUGUAAACUUCUUUUCUCAGGGACGAAGCAAGUGACGGUACCUGAGGAAUAAGCCACGGCUAACUACGUGCCAGCAGCCGCGGUAAUACGUAGGUGGCAAGCGUUAUCCGGAUUUACUGGGUGUAAAGGGCGUGUAGGCGGGAAAGCAAGUCAGAUGUGAAAACUCAGGGCCCAACCCUGAGCCUGCAUUUGAAACUGUUUUUCUUGAGUGCUGGAGAGGCAAUCGGAAUUCCGUGUGUAGCGGUGAAAUGCGUAGAUAUACGGAGGAACACCAGUGGCGAAGGCGGAUUGCUGGACAGUAACUGACGCUGAGGCGCGAAAGCGUGGGGAGCAAACAGGAUUAGAUACCCGCGUA
rnacentral:rRNA from 1 species